AUUGAACGCUGGCGGCAUGCCUUACACAUGCAAGUCGAACGGUAACGCGGGGGCAACCUGGCGACGAGUGGCGAACGGGUGAGUAAUGCAUCGGAACGUGCCCAGUAGUGGGGGAUAGCCCGGCGAAAGCCGGAUUAAUACCGCAUACGACCUACGGGUGAAAGCGGGGGACCGUAAGGCCUCGCGCUAUUGGAGCGGCCGAUGUCAGAUUAGGUAGUUGGUGGGUAAAGGCCUACCAAGCCUUCGAUCUGUAGCUGGUCUGAGAGGACGACCAGCCACACUGGGACUGAGACAGGCCCAGACUCCUACGGGAGGCAGCAGUGGGGAAUUUUGGACAAUGGGCGCAAGCCUGAUCCAGCCAUGCCGCGUGCAGGAUGAAGGCCCUCUGGGUUGUAAACUGCUUUUCUACGGGAAUAAACCCCUUUACGUGUAAAGGGCUGAAGGUACCGUAGGAAUAAGCACCGGCUAACUCCGUGCCAGCAGCCGGGUAAAGUGACUACUG
rnacentral:rRNA from 1 species